GAGCAAUGAUGAGUGAAGUAUAGUCUGAACUGGUAUUGCCGAGACUCCGUGUCUGCUCUGACCAGGGCAUGAUCACGUAAUCUUCUCUCUGAGCUA
rnacentral:snoRNA from 2 species